UACGGGGGGGGCAAGCGUUGUUCGGAAUUACUGGGCGUAAAGGGCUCGUAGGCGGCCAACUAAGUCAGACGUGAAAUCCCUCGGCUUAACCGGGGAACUGCAUCUGAUACUGGAUGGCUUGAGUUCGGGAGAGGGAUGCGGAAUUCCAGGUGUAGCGGUGAAAUGCGUAGAUAUCUGGAGGAACACCGGUGGCGAAGGCGGCAUCCUGGGCCGAUACUGACGCUGAGGAGCGAAAGCGUGGGGAGCGAACAGG
rnacentral:rRNA from 1 species